GAUGAAGAACGCAGCGAAAUGCGAUAAGUAAUGUGAAUUGCAGAAUUCAGUGAAUCAUCGAAUCUUUGAACGCACAUUGCGCCCGCCAGUAUUCUGGCGAGCAUGCCUGUUCGAGCGUCAUUUCAACCAUCAAGCCCCAGGCUUGUGUUGGAGCCCUGCGGCUGCCGCAGUCUCCCAAAACCAGUGGCGGGCUCGCUAUCACACCGAGUGCAGUAGUUUACUCUUCGCUCAGGGCGUGUGGCGGGUGCUAGCCGUGAAACCCCCAACUUCUCAAGGUUGACCUCGGAUCAGGUAGGAAUACCCGCUGAACUUAAGCAUAUCAAUAAGCGGAGGA
rnacentral:misc_RNA from 1 species